CCAUAAGUGAUAGAUGUACAAGGACCGAAGAUGGAAGGUCCACCUCUGGAGCAGCCAACCAUCCCCAGAUAUGGUAACAAAGAGUCAUGGCUACUAUCCCAACUCUACGGAACGGGAAUGCUGGUGCAUCUGUCAACUGUUUGCAAACGGACGGAGCUGCUGCUGCUGACCUGUGACCUGAACUGCUGAUUUCCUUACAAUGCACACGGGAUUUGCACCAAAGAACAAUUUCUCAACAGGUCCACUUCCCCCCAUCUCCUGAGGACCAUUCUUUCCCACUACCUCUGCUGCUAGGUGGUGGGCUAGAAGGAAAGUUAAAACAGUCAAGAAUCCUCAUUAAAAGUAGGCUUUGAAAAAAAAAAUCA
rnacentral:lncRNA from 1 species